GGCCGCGGGAAUUCGAUUGGAUCGCCCUUAGAGUUUGAUCAUGGCUCAGGACGAACGCUGGCGGCGUGCCUAACACAUGCAAGUCGAGCGGAGAAUGCAAGAUGUUUACAUUGAGCAUUCUUAGCGGCGGACGGGUGAGUAACACGUGGGUAACCUGCCUCAGAGUGGGGGAUAGCCUUUCGAAAGGAAGAUUAAUACCGCAUAAGCUUGUAGCAUCGCAUGGUGCAGCAAGAAAAGGAGCAAUCCGCUCUGAGAUGGACCCGCGGCGCAUUAGCUAGUUGGUGAGGUAACGGCUCACCAAGGCCACGAUGCGUAGCCGACCUGAGAGGGUGAUCGGCCACAUUGGAACUGAGACACGGUCCAGACUCCUACGGGAGGCAGCAGUGGGGAAUAUUGCACAAUGGGCGAAAGCCUGAUGCAGCAACGCCGCGUGAGUGAUGAAGGCUUUCGAGUCGUAAAGCUCUUUGAUCAGGGAUGAUAAUGACAGUACCUGAAAAACAAGCCACGGCUAACUACGUGCCAGCAGCCGCGGUAAUACGUAGGUGGCGAGCGUUGUCCGGAAUUACUGGGCGUAAAGGAUGCGUAGGUGGAUAUUUAAGUGGGAUGUGAAAUCCCCGGGCUCAACCCGGGAACUGCAUUCCAAACUGGAUAUCUAGAGUGCAGGAGAGGAAAGCGGAAUUCCUAGUGUAGCGGUGAAAUGCGUAGAUAUUAGGAGGAACACCAGUGGCGAAGGCGGCUUUUCUGGACUGUAACUGACACUGAGG
rnacentral:rRNA from 1 species